UACGAAGGGGGCGAGCGUUGUUCGGAUUUACUGGGCGUAAAGGGCGCGUAGGCGGCCCUCCGAGUCGCGUGUGAAAGCCCCGGGCUCAACCUGGGAAUUGCGCGCGAAACGGGGGGGCUUGAGUUCGGGAGAGGAGCGUGGAAUUCCCAGUGUAGAGGUGAAAUUCGUAGAUAUUGGGAAGAACACCGGUGGCGAAGGCGGCGCUCUGGACCGAGACUGACGCUGAGGCGCGAAAGCGUGGGGAGCAAACAGG
rnacentral:rRNA from 1 species